UUUUAUUCCAUUUAAGCAAAUAUCACAAGUUUAGAAAUGUGUAUGCACCUGUUUGAAGCAAGAACAACAACCAAACUGGACCGACAACUAUCGGAAACCUCUUCAACGACGGAACCUUGGAACCUCGAUGUCAAGCUCAAAGAUCUCAGACCGGAAACCACGAGCACAACCCAAACGAUGACCUCAGACGGACUGCGCGACGACAGUGAAGAAACAGCGGCAACUGGGCUGAUUGGUUAGAGACCUGGGGGCUGGUGUUAUGGUGUUCGAAGGAGAAGAACGUGAAGCAACAGCUGCUGCUCGACGAGGCUCCGGUGUUCGUGGGGCUGGUUGAUUGGUUGUCGACUGGAAGAUGGAUGACGGGGACGAUCUAGUUGCUCGAUAGUGAGGUUGAGCUCGUCCGGUUGACGAAUGUAGCGACGAACGGAGGGAGUCUAUGGCGACGAUGAGGGUGGUCUGGGUGGACGAUGAGGAAGGUGAUGACGUAAAGGGGGUAGUCGUUUGAACGUGAGGAAGGUGAUGACGUAAAGGGGGUAGUCGUUUGGACGUGAGGAAGGUGAUGGCGCAACAGCGAUGACUGUUUUGGUGGAGCUGGAGCUUGUUGGCUGGAGGAUAGGGUGGUCGACGGACUGUUUGGUUGACGACGUUGCUGCUGGUUCGCGAGGGAUGGUGGGCUAUUGAUGGUGGUCGUGAGACGGAGAGGAAGCUGGGGCGACGGUGGUUGCUAGAGGUGGAAGGGUGGUCGCUGGACGAUUUUUCCGGUGACGGGCAGUGGUGGUUUUGAGGCGUGAAGGAGGUGGAGUUAUGGUCGUGGUAGUUUUUUUCUUCUUCUCCAUUUUAGUGGUCUUCCCUUUCUCUUUUCAAAAAAAUGUCUAAGUCCCCCCUUUCAUGUGCUCCUCCGUGUAUAUG
rnacentral:lncRNA from 1 species